CAGCAGCCGCGGGAAUACGAAGGGGGCUAGCGUUGUUCGGAAUUACUGGGCGUAAAGGGCGCGUAGGCGGCCAUUCAAGUUAGAUGUGAAAGCCCUGGGCUCAACCUAGGAAUUGCAUUUGAUACUGUUUGGCUUGAGUUCGGGAGAGGUGAGUGGAAUUCCCAGUGUAGAGGUGAAAUUCGUAGAUAUUGGGAAGAACACCAGUGGCGAAGGCGGCUCACUGGACCGACACUGACGCUGAGGCGCGAAAGCGUGGGGAGCAAACAGGAUUAGAUACCCGGGUAGUCCCUGUCUCUUAUAC
rnacentral:rRNA from 1 species